CUCUUUCCCACAUACAAAUUUGGCUGAUCAGUCCUAUAUAAACCCAUCAAGAUCCAAACUCAUUUUCCAUUCACAAAACUAUCAAAUCCAAAGCUCAGAAGCAAUAUUAUUAUGGCAUCAACUUUCUCUUACAAAUUCCUUUCUUUGUUUCUUUUUCUUUCCAUUUCUUCACCUUUCUCAUAUGCAGCCUCUCAUCAUCAUGACCAACUUCACUUGUCUUCAGCUUCCAACUUGCCCAAACUGCAAGCAGAAAAGAUGACAAGAGCCUUGAACUUAUUCCCUAAGCACUCCAUCAACAUGCCAACCCAUGUUGAUUCUUUAGUAACUGGUCCUCAGAUUGUUGAGAAACCAUUAAAGUUGCAUCUUCUUGGUGAUCCGGAGAUUUCUGUUCAGGAUUUGGGUCACCACGCUGGAUACUAUAAGCUUCCCCAUGCAAAAGAUGCAAGGUUGUUCUACUUUUUUUUCGAAUCACGGAACAGCAAGGAUGAUCCUGUCGUCAUAUGGUUGACAGGAGGGCCUGGAUGCAGCAGUGAAUUGGCAUUGUUUUAUGAAAAUGGUCCUUUCCAUCUUUCAAAGAACAAGUCUCUUAUAUGGAAUGACUAUGGUUGGGAUAAGGCAUCGAACCUGAUAUACGUUGAUCAGCCUAUUGGAACUGGAUUCAGUUACACAACAGAUGCUAAUGACAUUCGCCACGACGAAAAUGGUGUUAGCAAUGACUUGUAUGAUUUCUUGCAGGCUUUCUUCAAAGAGCAUCCCCAGUUUGUCAAAAAUGAUUUUUACAUAACUGGAGAAUCUUAUGCUGGGCACUACAUCCCUGCUUUUGCUGCCCGGGUCCACCAAGGAAACAAAAACAAAGAAGGGAUUCAGAUAAACCUCAAGGGAUUUGCCAUUGGCAAUGGUCUUACUGAUCCUGGUAUUCAGUACAAAGCAUACACAGAUUAUGCACUGGACAAGAAGUUAAUUCAAAAAUAUGAUUAUGACAGAAUUAACAAGUUGGUUCCAGAAUGUGAGCAGGCAAUCAAAGCUUGUGGCACAGAUGGUGAAUCUGCUUGUGAAACUGCAUAUGUCAAUUGCAAUAACAUAUUCUCUGAGAUCCUGGACGUUGUUGGUAAUAUAAAUGUAAGGAAGCAAUUCAACUAUUCUUCAAACAAAUAAAAGCUGAGAAGGCAUGUUGUUUGUGAAGAAAAAUGCAUUAUAUAUUUUCAUGGGAAUUCAUAGUAUCUUUGGUCUGCAGUACUAUGAUAUCCGAAAGGAAUGCGUGGGUCAACUAUGCUAUGAUUUUUCAGGCAUGGACACAUUCCUGAACGAGAAAGUAGUUAGAGAUGCUCUAGGCGUAGGAGACCUAAGCUUUGUUUCCUGCAGUUCUGAGGUUUAUGAGGCCAUGCUUUCGGACUGGAUGAGGAAUCUUGAAGCGGGGAUUCCUGCUCUUCUUGAGGAUGGA
rnacentral:misc_RNA from 1 species